UGGGGAAUCUUAGACAAUGGGCGCAAGCCUGAUCUAGCCAUGCCGCGUGAGUGAUGAAGGCCUUAGGGUCGUAAAGCUCUUUCGCCUGUGAUGAUAAUGACAGUAGCAGGUAAAGAAACCCCGGCUAACUCCGUG
rnacentral:rRNA from 1 species